GACGAACGCUGGCGGCGUGCUUAACACAUGCAAGUCGAACGGAAAGGCCUGCUUUCCCUUGUGGAUUGCGGGUACUCGAGUGGCGAACGGGUGAGUAACACGUGAGUGAUCUGCCCCCAACUUGGGUAUAAGCCUGGGAAACUGGGUCUAAUUCCCGAUCGGACUGCAGGGUGGUGCCUGUGGUGGAACACGAUUUUCUAGUGGUUGGGGAUGAGCUCGCGGCCUAUCAGCUUGUUGGUGGGGUAAUGGCCUACCAAGGCGGCGACGGGUAGCCGGCCUGAGAGGGGGGACGGCGACAGUGGGACUGAGACACGGCCCAGACUCCUACGAGAGGCAGCAGUGGGGAAUAAUGGACAAUGGGCGGGAGCCUGAGGCAGCGACGCCGCGUGGGGGAUGACGGAGUUCGGGUUGUAAACUCCUUUGGAACGCGAGGAAGCCACCUGGUUGGAAGGGUGGUGACGGUAGUGGUAGAAGAAGCACCGGCUAACUACGUG
rnacentral:rRNA from 1 species